AUUGAACGCUGGCGGCAUGCCUUACACAUGCAAGUCGAACGGUAACAGGUCUUCGGACGCUGACGAGUGGCGAACGGGUGAGUAAUACAUCGGAACGUGCCCAGUCGUGGGGGAUAACUACUCGAAAGAGUAGCUAAUACCGCAUACGAUCUGAGGAUGAAAGCGGGGGACCUUCGGGCCUCGCGCGAUUGGAGCGGCCGAUGGCAGAUUAGGUAGUUGGUGGGAUAAAAGGUUACCAAGCCGACGAUCUGUAGCUGGUCUGAGAGGACGACCAGCCACACUGGGACUGAGACACGGCCCAGAGUCCUACGGGAGGCAGCAGUGGGGAAUUUUGGACAAUGGGCGAAAGCCUGAUCCAGCAACGCCGCGUGAAGGACGAAGGUCUUCGGAUUGUAAACUUCUUUUAUAGGGGAAGAAUUAUUCCGUGAAUAACGGAAAAUGACGGUACCCUAGGAAUAAGCCACGGCUAACUUCGUGCCAGCAGCCGCAGUAA
rnacentral:rRNA from 1 species